UACGGGGGGAGCAAGCGUUGUUCGGAUUUACUGGGCGUAAAGGGCGCGUAGGCGGCACCGCAAGUCGACUGUGAAAUCUCCGGGCUUAACCCGGAAAGGUCAGCCGAUACUGCGGGGCUAGAGUGCAGAAGGGGCAACUGGAAUUCUCGGUGUAGCGGUGAAAUGCGUAGAUAUCGAGAGGAACACCUGCGGCGAAGGCGGGUUGCUGGGCUAUGGCUGACACUGAGGCGCGACAGCGUGGGGAGCAAACAGG
rnacentral:rRNA from 1 species